AGUAGCCAUAAUACUACCUGGUGGUCAGCUUCAAAUGUCUCAGAGCCUACUGUUACAAACUAUUGGUUACUGUUAUUGGAUCGCUACAACUCAGAAGCGAAUGUUAUUCAUUGUUGCAUUUCACUCAGAGUUUGACUACAGUACUGGGAUUUGGUACCUAACUCCUGAACUAUGGGCCUGCUGUCUAUUCGUUAUACGAACGGCAGACCACCAGGAUCUUGGCGUGUGCCGCCACUUAACCCCCGUCACCCCUGGAACAACUGAACGGCCGACCACCCUACGAGCCGAGUGUUUCUCCACUUAAUCGCCCAGAGAGUUGCGGUCUGCGGUUAACCACAACCUAAUUGACGGCAGCAGGGCAUUCACGUUCGUGCCCCAUCGCCCGAUACUCUAACUACCGAACGGGUACCGAACAAGGGCCACCUACAGCUUGGCGUGUGGCUCCAAUUAGAAUGUUGGUUUCUGCGGUUAACCGCAGGUUAAGAACCCCCUCCCGGUGUUCUUCAUUCGCCUCCCGAACAACGGAGACAUCCAGCGAUGGAGCGGGGAUUCGUGUAGACUUCUAGC